UAAAUUUAGAUCAAUAAAACAUGCAAGAACCUGUUUUAGAUUUUUAAGCUCUGGCACUUAGCCAAAUAUAUUUACCGGAAACCUCAAAAAAUAUUGAAAAGUCACUUACUGUAUUACUAAGCAAUAGAUAGCAACACUGUGAAUGAGUUCCAGGAAUUGUAUUUCUCAGUAAUAUAUCUUAUUAAGCUGUUUCAAUUCUGCAGCUGGUUAAAUUCCCCGUACUAGUUAGACUUUUGAAAAAAAAACAAAACUGUUUACUACAGUAGAUUUGAACGAAAGCAGAGGAAAAUAGAAUUGAAAAGCUACAGCUUUUGAGCUGGACACGUUGCAUCCAAAAGCUGCCAUUUGUAACUUUUUCUCCUACCUGGAGGUUUUCAGCUUAGCUUUGAAAACAUUCUUGGGUAACUGGUGAUUUUGCACCUUUUUCAUAUCUUUCAAAAUUAAUUUACAAACCAGUGCAGUUUUUUCCAGAGCUGCUAACCCAGGUACUAAAUGGAGGGCUGCUCAUGGGCUGCACUUCCUCCUUCCAUGUCCUCCUGUAGGAGGUCAGCCCGGCACUGAGCAACUAAUAAUACUUUAGAUUUUAGUUGAUGCUACAGAAAAGCUAAACACUUUACAGAGUGAGUGAAUUAAGCCUCAGCUCAUUCCUGGAUAGCGGGUAUUCUCUCUUUACAGGCUGGGGAAAGUGUCACACAGCAAAGCCUGUGGCACAGCCAGGAAGCGAACUCUUAACUCAAUCCCAAACUGUCACCAUAGACAAUGCUUCCUCUCAAGUUACAGCAAAGGUCUGUGAUGUCCAUUCCUCCCAUGCUUCGUUGCUUCUGGCUCAGUUCAUGCUAGGACAUUACAGUGGAAUGUUUGAUGUAGCCAUGGAACAUUGCUGUAGCAUGGGCCCAAUUUAUUGUUACAAUAUGAAAUGGUAUUCUAAAGAUUU